rnacentral:rRNA from 1 species
ACGAGUGGCGGACGGGUGAGUAAUGUCUGGGAAACUGCCUGAUGGAGGGGGAUAACUACUGGAAACGGUAGCUAAUACCGCAUAACGUCGCAAGACCAAAGAGGGGGACCUUCGGGCCUCUUGCCAUCGGAUGUGCCCAGAUGGGAUUAGCUAGUAGGUGGGGUAACGGCUCACCUAGGCGACGAUGCGUAGCCGACCUGAGAGGGUGAUCGGCCACAUUGGGACUGAGACACGGCCCAGACUCCUACGGGAGGCGCAUG